CACGUAGGGCGCGAGCGUUGUCCGGAAUUAUUGGGCGUAAAGAGCUCGUAGGCGGCCUGUUGCGUCCGCUGUGAAAGCCCGGGGCUCAACUCCGGAAUUGCCUUUAAGACUGCAUCGCUAGAAUUGUGGAGAGGUGAGUGGAAUUCCGAGUGUAGAGGUGAAAUUCGUAGAUAUUCGGAAGAACACCAGUGGCGAAGGCGACUCACUGGACACAUAUUGACGCUGAGGUGCGGAAGCGUGGGGAGCAAACAGG
rnacentral:rRNA from 1 species